GCAUUGUUGAAGAGUCCCACAAUUGGACGAAACGGCUGUCUAGUGC
rfam:Schistosoma curassoni strain Dakar, Senegal genome assembly, scaffold: SCTD_scaffold0003786